rnacentral:rRNA from 1 species
AAAUACUUAGUGGCGGACGGGUGAGUAACGCGUGAGAAUCUGCCUUCAGGACGGAGACAACAGUUGGAAACGACUGCUAAGCCCCGAUGAACCGAAAGGGAAAAUAUUUAUAGCCUGAAGAUGAGCUCGCGUCCGAUUAGCUAGUUGGGGGGUAAAGGCCCACCAAGGCGACGAUCGGUAGCUGGUCUGAGAGGACGAUCAGCCACACUGGGACUGAGACACGGCCCAG